GCAAGAAUGAAAUAGGGCCUCUCAUAGUGCCCCAUGCCAGAGCAAACUGUGGCCCUGAACCAUUGCCUGGUCUCUGUGUCCAUAGGCUGCUGGCACUGAAGUGGGUUGCACAGAG
ensembl:snoRNA